rnacentral:lncRNA from 1 species
UUAUAGAUAAAGGUCAAACAGCAGUGUUGACUGGAGGACAGAGAAGUUACAGUGAAGACGCUGAGAAACACAGAGUAUCAACAAUGUAACGAAUCCAGCAGGGGGCAGUAACGCAACGUUGCGGCGCCAGCUGCAGUAAAAUAAGACGAGGAAGAAGUAGGACCACCGUAGGUCGCCAUUGUUGUUGUGGUCGGAGUGAGCGCAUGCGUGUUAUGUGGUGGAGCGAUGUCCUGCGCGCGGAGGCCGGUUUGGUCCGAAUGACUACCCGUAGACCACGUGACUGUUGUUGUCACACGCCGCGCCGCUGCUGCACGCGCAUGCUGGACGCUCCGAAGCUAACGGACAAUAACACGCUCUGUGGAUGUCUGUGGACCUGGAGCCUCGCGGGACACAGUCCACUGUGGGAGACAUGUGCUUCUCCACGGGGGACUCGGCGCUGACGCCGGCGGUGCCGCCUGUAGAAGCAGAAGCUACCGGGAGCUAGCAUUAGCAGCUAUGAGGCUAACUGGAUCCGCCGGGUCCACAAACACCCGCCCGCUAAGGAACGGGUCCACGGCGUGUUGUGUUCGUGCUGGACUCCACAGAACCAGGUUGUGGGAGUGUGGAGAAAACGGCAGGAGACGCGCCGGGGGUCGGUCCAGAGGACCAGCUCUCCAGCCGGGCUCGCGGUGGAACAGCAGGAGACACGAGGAGGCGAGAAGAGGACACGAUGAGCCCGGCGGGGCUCAGGAGGACCUCUGACAUCAGGAGGCAGCAGCGGUGGCUGAAGAAAAGCAGAAGGCAGUGCACAGAUGUGACAGAAGGGGCGUCACAGUCGGGAUGUCCAGAGAGCACAGCGUAUGGAUCCGAGUCCACCCGUUUACAUGUGGUGUCUGUGUGUAUUAGAAUGUA